GCCCCGCCGAAUAGCGCAUCCCAGCCUCUCCCACCAGUAACCCUAACUCCGCUUCGCCUCUCUCUAGUCUCCAAUCCUCUGAGCUCUCACCACCUCUCAGCGCCGAAAACUCCUCCCCCUUCCCCGCUUUCAAUGCCGUCGGACAGCACCAUCGCGGCGGUAUAGGAUGCAUCCAGAGAUAUGCAAAUCCUCUUCACUGCAUUUUGAUGACAAUAAAGCACAAAAUAGGAGCCAAUAAUGUAUAUUUGAUGGAU